AUCCUGGCUCAGGAUGAACGCUGGCGGCGUGCUUAACACAUGCAAGUCGAACGGACUCAUAUUGAAACCUAGUGAUUUAUGAGUUAGUGGCGGACGGGUGAGUAACGCGUGGAAAACCUGCCGUAUACUGGGGAAUAACACUUAGAAAUAGGUGCUAAUACCGCAUAAGCGCACAGCUUCGCAUGAAGUGGUGUGAAAAACUCUGGUGGUAUACGAUGGUUCCGCGUCUGAUUAGCUUGUUGGCGGGGUAAUGGCUCACCAAGGCGACGAUCAGUAGCCGGCCUGAGAGGGUGAACGGCCACAUUGGGACUGAGACACGGCCCAAACUCCUACGGGAGGCAGCAGUGGGGAAUAUUGCACAAUGGGGGGAACCCUGAUGCAGCGACGCCGCGUGAGUGAAGAAGUAUUUCGGUAUGUAAAGCUCUAUCAGCAGGGAAGAAAAUGACGGUACCUGAUUAAGAAGCCCCGGCUAACUACGUGCCAGCAGCCGCGGUAAUACGU
rnacentral:rRNA from 1 species